UCUCCGAACUGCCCGGAAGCU
rnacentral:misc_RNA from 1 species